AAUGAACGCUGGCGGCAGGCCUAACACAUGCAAGUCGAACGGCAGCACGGACUUCGGUCUGGCGGCGAGUGGCGAACGGGUGAGUAAUGUAUCGGAACGUGCCCAGUCGUGGGGGAUAACGUAGUGAAAAUUACGCUAAUACCGCAUACGAUCUAUGGAUGAAAGCGGGGGAUCGCAAGACCUCGCGCGAUUGGAGCGGCCGAUAGCAGAUUAGGUAGUUGGUGGGGUAACGGCCCACCAAGCCAACGAGCUGUAGCUGGUCUGAGAGGGCGGACGGCCACACUGGAACUGAGACACGGGCCAGACUCCUACGGGAGGCAGCAGUGGGGAAUUUUUCGCAAUGGGGGAAACCCUGACGAAGCAACGCCGCGUGGAGGAUGAAGGCCUUCGGGUCGUAAACUCCUGUCGACCGGGAAGAAUGCACCUGACCUAAUACGUCGGCGUGUUGACUGUACCGGUGGAGGAAGCCACGGCUAACUCUGUGCCAGCCGCCGCGGUAA
rnacentral:rRNA from 1 species